UUGUCUUAUAGAUGUAAAAAAUACUCGCUGAAAAGUUAAUCUCACAUACCUUUAGAUGUUCCCGACUCGAAUAGGAUUACCUCAAGUAUGAAAAUACAUGUGGGAAACAAAAAAAAUGCAAACCACUAGUUUCAAUAUUAUCACAGAGUGUAAUUAACCUAUCUAAAAAAGGACGUCUUCUUAACAUCAUCUUCAUUUUUAACUGAUGCCUCACCUUCAUUCGUAUUUCCCACGCUUCAUUCUCAAUAACUUCGUUCUCACGCUCAUUCAUUGUUGUUCCUUCUUCCUUCUAAUUAUCGAUUUCGAUUUUCUCCUCUCAAUGUCAUUGAUCUUAACGUUGCUAUUCUCAUUGUGACCUCCUCACCACCAUUACCAUGAUUUCCUGAUUAGAAAUGUAAGACCUAUUUCUUCAUCUUAUUUUCAUUCUCAUUUUCAACUAACGAGUUAACUAUCGCAUCUCCUUCAAUAUCCUUCACCACUCG
rnacentral:lncRNA from 1 species